rnacentral:rRNA from 1 species
UCGAGCGAGAAGGAGACUUCGGUCUCUGAGUAGAGCGGCGCACGGGUGAGUAACGCGUGGAUGAUCUACCCUUGAGUUCGGGAUAACGGUGCGAAAGCGCCGCUAAUACCGUAUAACAAUCCAUUUCAUCGUGGGUUCAAAGCAGGCCUCUUCAUGAAAGCUUGCGCUUGGGGAUGAGUCCGCGUCCCAUUAGCUUGUUGGCGGGGUAACGGCCCACCAAGGCUACGAUGGGUAGCUGGUCUGAGAGGAUGAUCAGCCACACUGGAACUGAAACACGGUCCAGACUCCUACGGGAGGCAGCAGUGGGGAAUACUGCGCAAUGGGGGAAACCCUGACGCAGCGACGUCGUGUGAGGGAAGAAGGCCUUCGGGUCGUAAACCUCUGUCAGAAGGGAAGAACAUCCGGGAGUCGAACAGCCUCCCGGCCUGACGGUACCUUCAGAGGAAGCGCCGGCUAACUCCGUGCCAGCAGCCGCGGUAAUACGGAGGGCGCAAGCGUUAAUCGGAAUCACUGGGCGUAAAGCGUGCGUAGGCUGCUUGAUAAGUCAGACGUGAAAUCCCUCGGCUCAACCGGGGAACUGCGUUUGAUACUGUCGAGCUAGAGUCCUGGAGAGGGUGGCGGAAUUCCUGGUGUAGGAGUGAAAUCCGUAGAUAUCAGGAGGAACACCGGUGGCGAAGGCGGCCACCUGGACAGGUACUGACGCUGAGGUACGAAAGCGUGGGGAGCAAACAGGAUUAGAUACCCUGGUAGUCCACGCGGUAAACGAUGGAUGCUAGGUGUCGGGGAGCGAUCUUCGGCGCCGCAGCUAACGCAUUAAGCAUCCCGC